UGGAAAUGAUGAGAAAUAAGAGAUAACUGGGUGUCAAAUGUUGUAUGAUUGGAAAUUUUUAAUAUGUAAUUUAAGAGAUUAAUCACAAGUUCCAA